CAGCCAAUGCUUCAGCGGUCUGAGAGAAGCGCCUUCGGGUGACUGCCAGCUAAUGUCCCACAUACCUGAGAGGGACGCCUUAUGGCGGUAAACCCGUUUAACCUUUGAAAACGGGGGCCACUA
rnacentral:sRNA from 3 species